CCAAAGCUGGGAAGAAGAAAAAGUUAUAGUGGUACACGCAACUCCUUGGAAGGUGGAUCAGGUCAUGUAAGCAGAGAACACGACACUUCAACCAAGAGUAUGCAGGUGAAAUAUACAAAUAAACCAAAUCGGAAAUCUUUGCCUAAUCUUCAUUCACGGGAGUCCAUUUCUGCUAAAACCGAAGGAAAGUCUAGCAAGUUGAAACAGAGGGAAACAGUAGCAAAAGGUGAAGAUAUGAAAGCUACCGCAGAUAAAGAGCAAGCAAGCAAAACCGAGUCUGUAAACCCUCCUGAACUUGAGGAUGUAAAACUCGAGAAGAAUCCUCCCGGGAACACUGAAUUGCUUGCUAAUUCGGCCCAUCCUUUUGUGCCGGAAACUGAAGUAACUCUGAAUGGGGGGUGAUCCAGACAUUUGAACUGCUUACCUUGCUUCUGGAGGCUAAUAACAUAAUUUUGAUUAUUUAAAAGUUGUACCUAAUUCUUAAUAGUUCCCCAUUUUCUUAUGGUUAAUUUAUCUUGUGCAUAUACAAUUUGUGUUUCUUUGUAAAGUUAUGUAUAAAUAUGAAUUGUGGCGGCUACAUUGUAUAAUAUGUUAAUAUUGCUUGAUGUCUAUUCUUCGAAGUCCUCUGAUCGUCUCUUUCUUGUGAUUCUCAAGCUCGCUUUCUUUAUUCUUUUCAUCUCUUUCUAUUUCCGUUUGUAUUUUUUAGGCAAGGAGAAUGAUAAUGUAAUCCGAAGAAUAUGUUUAUAUAAUUAUAAAAUUAUCACUAAUUUAUACUCCUAUUUACUCAUAUAAUCUAUUCAAGUACAUAGAAGCAUUUUUCUCUAAACCAAAUCCUGACAGGAAAAGAGACUAUAUAAACUAAAUGUAAACCGGGAAUUACCCAAUGUUAUCCGAAGAUUCAUUAGAUAUUGUUAAAAUGCUUAUAUAAACUUAUGUAUUGUAUUUUCAAUUAAGUCAGCAACCAUGCAUGUAUACAUCAAAACUAGACAGUAAGUUGGCUCAUCAAUUCAUCAUUUUUAUUUGACCAAUAUUACCAUACUUGUUCUCACUCUCUAGCAGUUAGGUCAUGAGCAACUCAUUUUUAUCAAAUGCUCAUGAAAUUUAUAAUUUCACUACUACAACUAUUUAAAUCCGAGUUGUGCAUACCAUGGACUUAUCAGACUCUUAAAAUGCAUAUGUUUAUGAUGAGAUAUCAGAGAGAAUUAAUAUACAUACUAGCUAUAAAAAUUGGAAAUAUCAAACACAAUCGACCACCGAACUGAAGAGGGAUCACCGUACCAGCUUGCCAAGCAUUUGAUUUUGCUGGAAUAGCAAGUCUAUAGCACGAGCCAAUGAUAAGAUUAUUGGUUUCAAGACUAAUGAUUUGAAGAAUUUAGUUUAGAAAUUUGAUAGAUAAGAUAAAUUAGUUUUGAGUAAUAUGCUCUCCUUACUUCAGCAGUUUAAUUACCUUCUAAAUUAGCCCGAUUCAUAUGUUUGCUUUUUGUGUCUUGUACUCAAAGAUCAUACUGAUUUAUAAAGUAUGAUAUUGACUAUCCAUUUCGUUUAUUUCUUUUAGUUGAUUGGACUGCUUAAUCUUAAGUCAAAAAAAUAAUCAGUUAAAUCAUUUUUUUAUAUUAAAAUUUUAUUGCAUACUACGAACAUGUCCCAUAUGUGUUCAACCACCACCCCGAACCUGUUUUAAGAUGCCUUUUCACUGUGUUUUUUAAUUUCACAUGGCUUGUAAAAGAAAUAAAAAAAAUAAAAAUUUAAAACUACGUCUUUCAAAUGUAAUAUGAAACUACGAUUUUACGCUUCAUUAUCGGUUAUAAUAAUCACUGGUAAAAUUUGAUUUCUUGAGUAGGUCAAAAUAGGUAUUUAGUAUUGAUUUCUGCAUAAUAUAUGAACGAGACCCUAAAAGUUCAAACGUUGCCUCAGUUAAUUAUACCGAAAAGUUUUCCAAUAAUUUAUCCUGAAAAAGUUUUCUAGAUUAUUUUUUAAAAAAUUUCAAAGAAUAUUUUCUGGAAUAUUGUUUUCGAGAAAAAUUCUAAAGAACAUUUUUCUUGAAAAAUGUUCACCGGAAAAUUUCCAUAUACAAUGAAAAAUGUGUACAGUCUGCAAGCAGUUGCCUCAUGACUGACGUAUUUAUAUUUAACUCAAAACAAAUUAUCAAUUUAUUAUAAGCGAUACGAUCUAAUAUUCUCAAAAUGCAUGUAAUUGUUUAUUUCAUUUCAUUAUAUUGAUAGUAGAGGAAAAUUGUAUGUAGCCCACUAAAUUAUGAUAUGUUGUUUUCUAGUUCAUUCAAGAACGCUACUAGUAAAUCAGAUUUGCCGGUGCCGGGGGUGCAAGAAGCCCCUGAGGCGCACAUGGUCUCAAAAUUUGGAAUGCCUCAAAUUUCGAGGUCCAUAAUAUUUAUAUACAUAUAUAAUUAAUUUUAUUUUUUAUUGUAUGUUACUUAGAAUUUCUUAUUUAUAUAUUUUUUUAUAGUUAGUCGAUUAUCAUUAAUAUUAUUAUUGUUAUAUAUAAACUGAUAUUAUAUAUUCUAUUGUUAGUAUUAAUUAAUAUUUAUUAAAUUAUUUUUUGAGAUUUUUUUAUUGAUUUGCUAAAUAUUUUUAGAGAAUAAUUAAUAUAUAAUUUUUAUUCUUGUCACAUAUUAUAUAUUAUAAAUAUUAUUUAUUUUUUUUGUUAGAUAAAUCAAUUUAGUUAACGAAAAUAUAAAUAUGCUACUCAGACGAUGGAUGUUUUAUUAGAUGUUUUCUUUGUUUCAAACUUCAAAUUAAUUUAAAAUAAAAUAAAAGGGUGAUAUUCAUUUUUUUUAUUAAAAAACCCACAAUUAAAUUUAGCACAGAGCCUCUUUUUUGAUUGAGCCGGGAAUCUUUAUAUAUUUAUCAUAAAUUCUCGUAUUUGGUUUCUUUGUCCUUCACAUUUUCUACUACCCUUUCUUCUUCCUUUGAGCUUCUUAAUUCAUUGAAGAUAUCCGUCAAAGUGUUUCGCUAUAGGAGCUAAAUAACAAUUGACACAGAUGCAUUUCGAGUAAAUUUAUCCCUCGUUCUUUUUGUAUAUUAGAGAGAUUUUUGCUUGAGAGUGCUUGGCAGAUUCAACAGAAAUGAGCAGCCGAGUAAAUAAUUGUGCACAUACUCAGCACACAUCUGCGGUGUACCUGAUGCAUGAAAAGCGUCCGGCACAACAACUUUUUAACAUCAUCGUUUUGGCAUUAAGGAGACGUCACAGGUGUCUGUCUAUAUUUACGGUUAAAAUGGGACGCUGAAAACUAAAUAGUCGUCCAUCAAACAAGUGUCGCUUUUCAAGAUAACUGACCCUUAAGUUCUACUCCCUCCGUCCCCCUCAGUAUUAUAUAUUGGGGAACGAGGACGCGGCAUGAACUUUCAUGGUGGUGCAAUCUAUUUUUUUUCUCAAUUAAAAUUUGGAUGUUAUAUUUUUAUACAGGAAAAAAAAUCUCAAAAAUAAAUUACGAAACUAUAUUUUAUAAGAAUAUUGAAAUGUGUGUCAGGAAAAAAAACAUAUAAAAUUAAAUGGGAGAAGGAGUACGAAACUUCCCCUACUUACCAUCAAUUCAUCACAUAUAGAGUAUGUGUUUUAGUUUAAAGUCAUACAUAGUUGCUCAUGAGUAAAGUAUUUAUAAUAACCCUGUUGAAUAUUCAGUUCCACUUUUAAAUUUGUUAUAUGAAAUAAUCAAUUGAAAUGAUAUUAGACUCAUUCUAAGAUUUUAAAAUGGCAUGUAACGUUUUAUUUCAUUCCAUAUAUUUAGAUAUCGGAGGAAACUUUACCACGUAAAGCUGUAUUGCGGUUCCAGAUGACUCGAUCGAUUAAAAGACAGUUACCCGUUUCUUGUCUUGAUUGAAUCAUGUCUCUAGGCUUAUAAAAAUUAUUUCAAACAAUUAUUAAGAUUAUUGUUAGACCUAUAAGAAUUUUUAACUAGCAUCGCACAUGAAAUUUAUCAUAGACUUCUAAAACGAUUAUAAAUUAAAAUUUUAAAUUUUACUAAAAUAAAUAUUUUACCAAUCAAUUACGAAAUAUUUUUUUCAUUUUAUUUAGAAAUCAUAAACAACAUAAUGAUUUUACUACAAUAAGUAUAUCAUUUUAAAUUCAUAUUAUAACAUGUAUUUGAGAAUAAUUUUUUCAGAAAAAGAUCAAAAAAAAAAAGAUCAAUGAGUAAACUUGCAACUUUACACCAAUUUAUAAAAAGUUGAAAUAUUAUUCUAUCCAAAUUUAAUUUUUCUGUAAAAUUUAAAUUAUUUAAAGAAAAUAAAUGUCUUAGUCAGCAACCAUGCAUUUAUACACAUGAAAAUUACACAGUAAUUAGUUGGCUCAUCAUUUUUUAUUUGACCAAUAUUAGCUUGUUCUCACUCUCAAGUAGCAGUUGGGUCAUGAGCAACUCAUUUUUUAUCGAAUGCUAAAGAAAUUCAUAAUUGCACUACUACAACUAUUUAAAUCCGAGUUGUGCAUAUAUACCAUGACUCUUAAAAUGCAUAUGCAGUUGUUUAUGUUGAGAUAUCAGAGAGAAUUAAUAUACAUACCAUCUAUGAAAACUGGAAAUAUCAAGCACAAUCGACCGACUAUGUCAUUGGAUAUGACUUGAAGAACUUAGUUUAGAUAUUUGAUAAAUAAAUUACGUUCGAAAUUAGCUUUUUACGAUUGUUAAGUUGAAUAGCAAUAUAUCUAUUAUUUUAUUUAAGAGGAUAUCAAUGAGCUGAUUCUUCUUGUGUCUAGUAGCUUGAUGCUCAAAGAUCAUACUGAUUUAUAAAGUAUGAUAUUGACUAUCCAUUUCGUUUAUUUCUGAUUGGACUGCUUAAUCUUAAGUCAAAAAAAUAAUCAGUUAAAUCAUUUUUUUAUAUUAAAGUUUUAUAGCAUACUACGAACAUGUCCCAUAUGUGUUCAACCACCUCCCCGAACCUGUUUUAAGAUGCCUUUUCACUGUGUUUUUUAAUUUCACAUGGCUUGUAAAAGAAAUAAAAAAAAAAUAAUUUAAAACUACGUCUUUCAAAUGUAAUAUGAAAUUACGAUUUUACGCUUCAUUAUCGGUUAUAAUAAUCACUGGUAAAAUUUUAUUUCUUGAGUAGGUCAAAAUAGGUAUUUAGUAUCGAUUUCUGCAUAAUAUAUGAACGAGACCCUAAAAAUUCAAAUGUUGCCUCAGUUAAAUAUACCAAAAGUUUUCCAAUAAGUUAUCCGGAAAAAGUUUUCUAGAUUAUUUUUCAAAAAAUUUCAAAGAAUAUUUUCUGGAAUACUUUUUUCGAGGAAAAAUGUUCACCAGAAAAUUUUCAAAUACAAUGAAAAAUGUCUACACUUUGCAAGCAGUUGCUUCAUGACUGACGUAUUUAUAUUUUAACUCAAAAUAAAUAAUCAAUUUAUAAACCAAAUUUAAAAGCGAUACGAUCUAACAUUCUCAAAAUGCAUGCAAUUGUUUAUUUCAUUUCAUUAUAUUGAUAGUAGAGGAAAAUUGUAUGUAGUCCACUAAAUUAUGAUCUGUUGUUUCUAGUCCAUUCAAGGCUACGCUACUGGUAAAUCUUUAUCAGUAGCAAUCAAGAGCUAGCAAUCAAGAGCUAAGUAACAAUUAACACAGAUGCAUUUAGAGUAAAUUUAUUCCUCGUUCUUUUUGUAUAUAGGAGAGAUUUUUGCUUGAGAGUGCUUGGCAGAUUCAACAGAAAUGAGCAGCCGAGUAAAAAUAAUUGUGCACAUACACACAUCUGCCGACUGCGGUGUACCUGAUGCAUGAAAAGUACACAGUGAGUUGGUUCAUCAAUAAUCAUUUCCUAUUAUGACCAAUACUACAAUACUUGUUCUUACUCUCAAGUAGCAGUUGGGUCAUGAGCAACUCAAGAAAUUUAUAAUUUCACUAGUAUAUCUAUUUAAAUCCGAGUUGAGCCAUCGGACUCUUAAAAUGCAUAUGCAGCUGUUUAUGUUGAGAUAUCAGAGAGAAUUAAUAUACAUACUAGCUACGGAAAUUAUAAUAUCAAGCAAUGUGAUCGUUCUUAUAUUUGAAUUUUGUUCCCGGAGAAAGUCGAAGCUAGACGAUAUUGGACCAUUGGCCUUGUAUUCUUUCUAGCUCUUUGCAUUAUAUUUUGAUGGAGAGUCAACCUUCACAAAACUUUACUACUAUUGUCCUUUACCCUUCAUCCCUUUCCCUUUUCAUCUAUCUACCAUUCCAAAUAGCUUGUAGCUGAAGUUAACUAACAGGGAAUUGCUAUGAAGAUUUCAAUGGCCAGUUGCUCUUUCUGUCCGUCUAGAAAGUGGUAGUAAAUAUCUUAAAUGCUUACCACUUCGAGACCUUUUAAUGGAAUUGGCAUGCUUUAUUUACUUAUUUUUGACCACACUACAAACAAUGGCUUUCUGCAGUUGCUUUUGUUUUUGUUAAAAUGGCCUUGAUGUCACUCCAUUGUCUUCACAUACAUCGUCUUCACAUACAUCACCAGGUACAAUGGUAUAGUUACUUUUUGUUCUACAACACCAUUCUAAAAGCUCAAUGAAAAAUUGUGCUCGCUGAUGUAGUACUUCACAUACAUCACCAGGUACACUGUUAUAGUUAUUUUUUUUUUCUACAACACCAUCCUAGAAGCCAUUAACUGAAAUAUAUAGGGGGUGUUUGGAAGUUAGAGGUUUGGAGUAAAAUUAGAAGUUUGGGGUGUUUUAGAGGUUUGACCAUUUCAAUCCGCUAAUGUUAGUGUUUGGUAGUUAGCGGAUUGAAAUAGAGGUUUGGGCUCAAAAAGCUAAUUUUCAAAAAGCUAGUUUGAGGAGCUUUUUGGGUUAGCGGUUUGGGUAUGUGUCACAAAAAGCUUAUCAAAUAGCUAUUUACCAAACAAUUUUACAAGAAACCGCUAAUUUAAUCCGCUAGUCAAAACAUCUAUUUAAAUCAGCUAGUCAAAACAUCUAAUCCAAUCCGCUAACAGCUAACCGUUAAUUCCCAAACAGGGCUAUAAGGAGAUUCUAGGUACUCGUGUUUUUUAUGUAUUAAAAAACUGAAAUGCUUAGACUGUUAGGGACGGUGCCAGUAUGGACGAUUGUACAAUGACCAACAUGCAUGGUCUGUCAAUGUUAUGAAAUAAAUCGAUCUUAUUGUCUAUAAUUCAGUUCCUUUUUGCUGGACACACAACAACCUUUAGAUCAAUCAUCAAUAUGUUUUUUGCCUUCAAUUUAUUUACUUUCAACUUGCACUUCCUCAUACACAAAAUUUCUUUUGGUGUGUUUAUCGUAACAGAUGCCAACCACGUGUGCAAGAUCCCCAAAGCUUGGAAGAAGAAAAAGUUAUAGUGGUACACGCAACUCCUUAGAAGGUGCAUCAGGUCAUGUAAGCAGAGAACACAAAACUUCAACCAAAAGUAUGCAGGUGAAAUAUGAAAACAAUAAUGUUUUCAAAAAUAAACCAAAUCGGAAAUCUUUGCCUAAUCUUCACUCACGAGAGUCCAUUUCUGCUAAAACCGAAGGAAAGUCUAGCAAGUUGAAACAAAGGGAA
rnacentral:lncRNA from 1 species